GUCUUGGUGGUGUAGUGGUCAGAGCACGCGUCUCCGGAUAGGAUGAAACGCGGGCUCGAUUCCGGCCCGAGGCC